AUUGAACGCUGGCGGAAUGCUUUACACAUGCAAGUCGAACGGCAGCACGAGGGCAACCUUGGUGGCGAGUGGCGAACGGGUGAGUAAUACAUCGGAACGUGCCCAGUCGUGGGGGAUAACGUAGCGAAAGCUACGCUAAUACCGCAUACGAUCUAUGGAUGAAAGCGGGGGACCGUAAGGCCUCGCGCGAUUGGAGCGGCCGAUGGCAGAUUAGGUAGUUGGUGGGGUAAAGGCUCACCAAGCCUGCGAUCUGUAGCUGGUCUGAGAGGACGACCAGCCACACUGGAACUGAGACACGGUCCAGACUCCUACGGGAGGCAGCAGUGGGGAAUUUUGGACAAUGGGCGCAAGCCUGAUCCAGCCAUUCCGCGUGCAGGAUGAAGGCCU
rnacentral:rRNA from 1 species